GUCAAACUACCACCAGGGUCAUAAAACAACUCCUGGAAAUGCCCACAACUCCUACGAAAGCCUUGUCAAAUGUGUUUCUUCAGGUUCAUGCUACAGAAGAAGGGUCAAACUACCACCAGGGUCAUAAAACAACUCCUGGAAAUGCCCACAACUCCUACGAAAGCCUUGUCAAAUGUGUUUCUUCAGGUUCAUGCUACAGAAGAAGGGUCAAACUACCACCAGGGUCAUAAAACAACUCCUGGAAAUGCCCACAACUCCUACGAAAGCCUUGUCAAAUGUGUUUCUUCAGGUUCACGCUACAGUAGAAGGGUCAACAAACUACCACCAGGGUCAUAAAACAACUCCUGGAAAUGCCCACAACUCCUACGAAAGCCUUGUCAAAUGUGUUUCUUCAGGUUCAUGCUACAGUAGAAGGGUCAAACUACCACCAGGGUCAUAAAACAACUCCUGGAAAUGCCCACAACUCCUACGAAAGCCUUGUCAAAUGUGUUUCUUCAGGUUCAUGCUACAGAAGAAGGGUCAAACUACCACCAGGGUCAUAAAACAACUCCUGGAAAUGCCCACAACUCCUACGAAAGCCUUGUCAAAUGUGUUUCUUCAGGUUCAUGCUACAGAAGAAGGGUCAAACUACCACCAGGGUCAUAAAACAACUCCUGGAAAUGCCCACAGCUCCUACGAAAGCCUUGUCAAAUGGGUGUUCUUGGGCUAUGAAAUGUCUUAUAUACGACCCAAAGUUUAUACGAUUUUUUGC